rnacentral:rRNA from 1 species
CUACCGGGGUUUCUAAUCCCGUUUGCUACCUUAGCUUUCGUGCCUCAGCGUCAGAAGAGACCCAGUAAGCCGCUUUCGCCACCGGUGUUCCUCAAGAUAUCAACGCAUUUCACCGCUCCACCUUGAGUUCCGCUUACCUCUGUCUCCCUCGAGCACGGUAGUUUUGAAUGCAAUUCCCCAGUUGAGCUGAGGGCUUUCACACCCAACUUUCCGCGCAGCCUACGCACCCUUUAAGCCCAGUAAUUCCGAGUAACGUUUGUACGGUUCGUCUUACCGCGGCUGCUGGCAC